rnacentral:rRNA from 1 species
ACAGCAGUCGCCACGGGAAUACGGAGGGUGCAAGCGUUAUCCGGAUUUAUUGGGUUUAAAGGGUCCGUAGGCGGAUCUGUAAGUCAGUGGUGAAAUCUCACAGCUUAACUGUGAAACUGCCAUUGAUACUGCAGGUCUUGAGUAAAUUUGAAGUGGCUGGAAUAAGUAGUGUAGCGGUGAAAUGCAUAGAUAUUACUUAGAACACCAAUUGCGAAGGCAGGUCACUAAGAUUUAACUGACGCUGAUGGACGAAAGCGUGGGGAGCGAACAGGAUUAGAUACCCGAGUAGUCCCUGUCUCUUAUAU